rnacentral:lncRNA from 1 species
AAUAACAACAAUUUGAUUGAACAUAAAAUCUCUUUUUAUUCAUAACAAUUUUGGAAGGAUUACACUAAGUACAAUUUCAGAAACCAAAAUAUAAAUACAAGAGAAAAGGAAACUAUCAUCCUAAGGAUCCUUAGCAACUACAUCAGAUGAUCUAGCUAUAGGUGCAUACUUCCUUCGGAUGCGUCGAAUCUCGGACUCGAAGGAUGUCUUCAUCUGAGCCUUCUCAAGAACUAGUUGAUCA